CCUACGGGAGGCUGCAGUGGGGAAUAUUGGGCAAUGGGCGCAAGCCUGACCCAGCAACGCCGCGUGAAGGAAGAAGGCUUUCGGGUUGUAAACUUCUUUUCUGGGGGACGAACAAAUGACGGUACCCCAGGAAUAAGCCACGGCUAACUACGUGCCAGCAGCCGCGGUAAUACGUAGGUGGCAAGCGUUAUCCGGAUUUAUUGGGUGUAAAGGGCGUGUAGGCGGGAAUGCAAGUCAGAUGUGAAAACUCAGGGCUCAACCCUGAGCCUGCAUUUGAAACUGUGUUUCUUGAGUGCUGGAGAGGCAAUCGGAAUUCCGUGUGUAGCGGUGAAAUGCGUAGAUAUUAGGAGGAACAUCAGGGGCGAAGGCGACUUACUGGACUGUAACUGACACUGAGGCACGAAAGCGUGGGGAGCAAACAGGAUUAGAUACCCGGGUAGUC
rnacentral:rRNA from 1 species